UAUAUGAUGGUGGUCAAUAGGAGAAGGCUGGGGGAGUCCUACCAGCUCCUGUGCUGGAGAUGGGCAGUGUCAUGGCCCUGGGAUCUGGCUGCUCCUGGAGGAGAUGCUGUGUGCUGGGCUUCAUGGUCAUGGUGAAAAAGGAUCAAUCCUCUGGACUGCAGGUUGAGAAUCAAAUUGCCUGCGUGCCCUGAAGUCUGAGAAUCAAAUGAAGAAGUUUACUGCAUGGAGACUUCAAAUUUUAACUUGAACUAAGUCUAAAAAAUGACCAGAGAACUUUUUACUGUGGUUUAGGAUGGUGCAGAGAGAGUCCACCAAGAAGGGUGUACUACCAGUGCUGCAGGAGCCCUAAUAGACAGAAUGCACAUCUCCCACGGACACAGCAGCAUGUGCUUCACUUAAGACCAAGAUGUGUAAAGCAUGUUCCAGUGUCUUCUUUCAAGUGGAAGAAGUGGAUGCCGACGAUGGUGCUGACCCAUACUACUGCAUCAAAUAUGUGAAGGAACACCUGAGAGACCUUGAGGUAGUACAAGCAUUCAGACUUCAAUACCUGUCAGGCCAAGAAAUCGCUGGGACCAUGCACACUAUGCUAGUAGACUGGCUUGUGCAAAUGCAAAUGAAAUUCAGACUGUUUCAGGAGACACUCGAGCGUUGCUGUUAAUAAUCACUUUUUUCAGGACAAUGCUGUGCUGAAGCUGGGUGGUGUCACAGCUAUGUUCAUUAUCAGGAUUUAUAAAGUUCAGGACAUGAUCAAAAUAUCUGUGUGUACCCAUCUAAAUAUGCACAAAGAUUUGCAUUUAUCUAAUAGUUGUACAAUGAGUUUCUCUCAAGACAGGGUAUUUUGAAUUGAAUAAGCCAUCUUCCUCAUCUUAGCACUUCUUCUGCAGUUUCAAAUUACCAAAGCAAAAUAUUGGUGGAAAUUUUUUAAUAUCUGUGAAGUUAAGAAUAAUAAGAUGAAGGAAGAAUCCUGGAGGAGUUAAUUACAACUUGCUUGUGUAUUUCUUUUGCGAAUUUCAGUGUGCAACUGAGUGCAAGUGAACACCUUCAGCUGAACCCCACCAUAAGGAAAACAAAACCACUGUCUGUUCAGGAACUGAACUUGGAAAGAUGUACAGCAAGACUGGGGCAAGAAGUAAAUAAUAAACAAACCAAAAUAUAUAAGAGUCUUCUGCACCCUCCUGAACCUGGAAGAGAUGCUAAGGCAGAUGAGUUUAUUCCUCAUUUAAAUUUAAACUUUGUUAUUGUAAUCCCAUUGUAAUUUAAACUUUUAAAUUAUAGUUUCUGUGAAAUUACAUAUUAGACAUCUAAAAAGGACCACUGAGAUAAGGUAAAGGUACCUUCUUGUGAGCCAUAGCUGUUAUAGCCGAUUUGCUGUCCAGCCAGUCUGUGUGCCAGAAAGGUACCAUCAGUUCUGAAUUAAUAUGUGCUGCAGAUUUCUCCAACUUAAAAUGUGGCAAAUGGAGUAAGAAGUGAAGAUAAGGCAGUGUUGGAGUACCUUGCAAUGUAGGCAAGCUUUUUAUAAUAUGACACUGUCCUUCCAAAAGCUUGGGAUUCAGACUCAUGAAUAAGAAAUCUUAAUGUUUCUUCUUGCAUCUGAAGUAAGGACUGGAAAUCAGUGUGGUUUUUGUCUCAGAAGAAAGGCCUUCAUGUUUCCGGCUUCCCCAGAAAACGUGUUAAAGCUGAGAUUUUAAAUUUAGUCACAGAAACUUGAAGGGCUCUGAGGAAGCAUCAAGGCCGUCCUCCUGCCCUGGGGUGGUGUAACUGACUGCUUCUGUGUCACUCCCGGCAGAUGCUUGUCUCAUUUUUGUUUAAAAACAUAAUUUGGGGAAACUGUACAGUGUGUCCAGGAAAUCUCUUCCUCCCGUGUUUCACCAUUUUUGCCACACAAAAAUGUAUGCAACAGCUCUUUCUUAAGAUCCAGUCUGACUCUUUUUUUCCUGCAACUUAAACCUGUUAUUUCUUGCCCUUAGACCAGCUUUGGAUCCAUUCCUCUUUUCUGCAGCCUUUAAUGUGACUACAAGUUGUUAUCAUCUCAACGUAAACAUACCUGACUGUUUCGUUUGCUGGCUUAAAGAAGCUGGCUAAUUAACCUGCUAGAUAAUGGCUUUUUGAUUUGUCAUUACAUCUAGAUCUUUGCCACGUGGAUCACAGAAGAGGUGCCCUGAACAGGGAUCACCUGGAGCCUUCCCACUCUUGAGCAGAAGAAUUAUUUUGUUUUUUCACCCUAUGUUGUAGGGUGUCCGUGCUUUUAUGAAUCUGAGUGUGGCAUUAAAUAUUAUUUUUGGCCCCAAAAAACUCUCAGAUCUUUUCUUAGUUAAGCCAGCUCUUCCUGUAGCUUGACACUUACAGUACGUUCUGGGUUGGAUCUGUGCAACAAGUUUUUAAAGGCCUUACUUUUAUUUCAGCAUUCAGGUCGCUAAUGAGGGUGCUGCAUGUUGUCGGAUCCAGACCCCUGUGUGAUGCCUCCUUUUCAUUUUGAUAGCGAAGCAUUGAUAACUACUAUUAAGGCAUGGUUUUCACCCAGCUUUGUGUCCCCCUAUUACAUUUCCAUCAGCAUUAUGUGGGACACUGCAUUAGAAAUCAGGGACAAGUGAUAGUUAUUUAGGUGUGCUUGGGAGUUCAAUGAGUAUGGAUGUAUUAAUAUGCACUUGGAUUUUCUGACUGUUCAGUGAAUGGAUGUACAUUUUUAUUGGUGCAGCUGGUGCUUUUUAAAAGUGAUGCAUAGAAAUACACUUGCUAAUGAAAAUUGCUAAGACAUCAUAAAGAAAUGGGUUAUAGGGUUCAGAAAACCAAAAACGAAACUGAAUCUAAUUACCAAAGAGGAAGGUGUGCUGCUGUGAAUUUGAUUGAGAUUUUAUGUAAAUCCCGUCCAGCUAGUCCACUCCAGCAUUUGAUUUAGAAGUCUAAUGGGCAGUAAGGAUGUGCAGAAUGCAGAUUGUGGGCAAGCUGCAAAGCAGCUGCUCUGGUGAGCUACUAGGUUAAGUGACUGAUAGACUUCUGCUGAGG